UUGUAUUUUGUUUUUCUCCGUUUUCUUUAGUUUCCCCGAUCGCUUUUGUUCUUGGUGGUGGUUUGCGUUUGUUUUCCCGUUUUGCUCCCUUCUCCCCCUAGCGGCCUGGAGCGGUACUGUUUUCGGAGGUUGCUGCGGUUCCAGCCAAUAGAUCGCUGGAGGGCGGACCCCACACACACCUGCGCCUCAUUCCUCAUCUCAUCAACUCCUGCAUUUAAACGCCGGCUUUUCUCUCACUCGUCGCCAGAUUGUCUGCUUGCCAUACGACCUUCCCCCCGUUCCUGCGUUCCUGCCGUUCCUGGUUCUCCUGUGUUCCUGCCGUUCCUGGUUCUCCUGUAUUCCUGCCGUUCUUGGUUCUCCUGCGUUCCUGCCAUUCCUGGUUCUCCUGCCAUUCCUGGUCAUCCUGCAUUCCGGUUCAUCACUCCUGGUCAUCAGUCCGCCCUGCAGUUCCCCGGCGCUUCCAGUACCGCUCCUGCCGCUCCCCUCUCGUUUUCUGUUAUCUUUUUGGUUGUUUGUUUUGGUCGUUUAUUUAUUAUUUGUUUAAAUAAAUAUCGUAUUAUCA